rnacentral:rRNA from 1 species
AUUGAACGCUGGCGGCAUGCCUUACACAUGCAAGUCGAACGGCAGCACGGGAGCAAUCCUGGUGGCGAGUGGCGAACGGGUGAGUAAAGUAUCGGAACGUGCCCAGUCGUGGGGGAUAACGUAGCGAAAGUUACGCUAAUACCGCAUACGAUCUAUGGAUGAAAGCGGGGGAUCGCAAGACCUCGCGCGAUUGGAGCGGCCGAUAUCAGAUUAGGUAGUUGGUGGGGUAAAGGCUCACCAAGCCGACGAUCUGUAGCUGGUCUGAGAGGACGACCAGCCACACUGGGACGGGGAAACGGCCCAGACUCCUACGGGAGGCAGCAGUGGGGAAUUUUGGACAAUGGGCGCAAGCCUGAUCCAGCCAUGCCGCGUGCAGGAUGAAGGCCUUCGGGUUGUAAACUGCUUUUGUACGGAACGAAAAGGUUUGACUUAAUACGUUGGACUCAUGACGGUACCGUAAGAAUAAGCACCGGCUAACUACGUGCCAGCAGCCGCCGUAACAC